rnacentral:rRNA from 1 species
GACAGAGGUGCCGAGCGUUAGGCGGAAUCACUGGGCUUAAAGCGUGUGUAGGCGGGCGGGCAAGUACCUUGUGAAAUCCCACGGCUCAACCGUGGAACGGCUGGGUAUACUGCCUGUCUUGAGCCAACUAGGGGCGAGCGGAACAGACGGUGGAGCGGUGAAAUGCGUAGAUAUCAUUUGGAACGCCAACGGCGAAAGCAGGCAACUGGGGAUGCACCGACGCUGAGACACGAAAGCCAGGGGAGCGAACGGG